ACAUUUUGAGUAAACUGAGAAAGCUAGAACACUGAGUAGUCAGAGGAACGUUCUUGAGAGCUUUUUGUUUACUGUGUUCCCUUGCCUGGUCUUGUGAAAGGAGAGGCUUACGUAUCGUGUGCCGAUAGUCGAAGUGGACUCUCUUCAAGUUGGCAAGGCUCUCUACCUGGUCUUGUGAAAGGAGAAGCACGUGAAUCGUGUGUCGAUGCCGGUGCAGGUUCUCUUCAAGUUGGUAGAGUGGUUUCCUUCAUUCUAUUUCUGUAUCUUUUAUUGUAAACUGUUAAAUCUCUUUUUAGUGGAACUGUUAAUCACUCCUUGUAGUGAUUAACGACUGGACGUAGAUUUUGUUGAAUCGAACCAGUAUAAAAAUCCUUGUGUGUUUUUCUUUUGCCCUACACUCAUUUUAUUUUAACGCACGUUAUCUGCUUGGUAAAUUUUCUGAAAGAAAAUUGUUUUUUAUAAAAAGGCUAAAUUCGUUUCAACUGUGACUUAUUACGCUCUACGCUCUCUGUGUUUUAAUCCGCUGCGCUAAACUCUUUUAAAAAUUAACCCCUCCGAUACCAACAAUUUAGACUCGGCUCAUGCGGGUUGAACCCGUGGUGAGCCGGGUUGGCCCACCAACCCACCUACCUAAUUUUAUUUUUUUAAUUUAUUAUUUAAUUUAUGAAACCCUAAAAAAUAAAAUAUUUUUUUCACUCACUGUGUAUACAAAAAAAGUAACCUCUGAUCUCACAAAUCACUCUCACGGUACUUGCUCUCAUUUGACGAUGCUCACUUCACUGAAAUUCUUCAAGGAGCAGGUAAAACACCCUUUCUUUUUUCUUCUCUUUUCUCCACAUUUUUGUUUUCUCACUUCUCUUUCU
rnacentral:lncRNA from 1 species